CGGCACUCUGGAGACGCCCGCUUGGCGGGGGCCGAAGGUGAAAGCCGGCAGCAUUGUGCUGCGCGGGCGAAUCUCUCAGGCAAAAGGACAGAGCG
rnacentral:ncRNA from 1 species